GUGGUUGCUCCGUAGCCCUCUUGGCAGUAUCACUAUGCCUGUGUUCCAGUAACUCUUACUUCACUUAAUUGUUCUAUCUUGUUAUUAGUUAUUGUUGCUAAUCUCUUACUGUGUCUAAUUUAUUAAUUAAGCUUUAUCAUAAGUAUGUAUAUACAGGAAAAAACGUAGCCUAUGUAGGGUUCAGUACUAUCUGUAGUUUCAGACAAACACUGAGAGUCUUGGGGUGAAUUCCCUCCAUGAGGGGGGACAGGUGUACUCCUCUUAUUUAUGCUUCUCCAUUGCAAAGCAAGAUGGCAUCUCUCUAGGCAACACCUGGAAGCCAGGGUAACUUUUUGGUGACAAAGCUGAGCCUAAAUAGUCUCUGCUGUACUUCCAGUGUCUGUGAGAAUUACAGAAAUAGGUCACUGAACCUUUUUAAAAAUAGAACUGACACAUUUGGGGAAAGCAUUUUUUCUGCUGAGAUAGCACACAGUACAAGAUGAAAUGAUCCCUAGAGGGUAGAUGAAUUUAGACAUUUGGUAUUAAAAAUAAAUAAAUAGUCUUAAUGACUCACAGGGAACAUAGCACCUUUCAUAAGAAAGGUCUCUAAACAUUGUUACCUGAACAGACCACAAUAAAUUUC
rnacentral:lncRNA from 10 species